rfam:Pteropus alecto contig4963, whole genome shotgun sequence.
GUCUACGGCCAUGCCACACUGAACAUGUCUGAUCUCCCGUCUGAUCUCGGAAGCUAAGCAGGGUCGGGCCUGGUUAGUACUGGGAUGGGAGACCACCUAGGAAGACCAGGUGCUAUAGCCA